rnacentral:rRNA from 1 species
UACGAAGGGGGCUAGCGUUGCUCGGAAUCACUGGGCGUAAAGGGUGCGUAGGCGGGUCUUUAAGUCAGGGGUGAAAUCCUGGAGCUCAACUCCAGAACUGCCUUUGAUACUGAGGAUCUUGAGUAUGGGAGAGGUGAGUGGAACUGCGAGUGUAGAGGUGAAAUUCGUAGAUAUUCGGAAGAACACCAGUGGCGAAGGCGGCUCACUGGCCCGGUACUGACGCUGAUGUGCGAAAGCGUGGGGAGCAAACAGG